GGAGGUGUAGCUCAAUGAGGGAGCACUUGCCUAGAAUGCAUGAGGCCCUGGGUUUGAUCCCCAGCACUGCAA
rnacentral:tRNA from 1 species